UGUUCCUACGGGGCGCAGCAGUGGGGAAUAUUGCACAAUGGGGGAAACCCUGAUGCAGCAACGCCGCGUGAGUGAAGAAGUAUUUCGGUAUGUAAAGCUCUAUCAGCAGGGAAGAAAAUGACGGUACCUGACUAAGAAGCUCCGGCUAAAUACGUGCCAGCAGCCGCGGUAAUACGUAUGGAGCAAGCGUUAUCCGGAAUUACUGGGUGUAAAGGGAGCGUAGACGGAUGUGCAAGUCUGAUGUGAAAGGCGGGGGCUCAACCCCUGGACUGCAUUGGAAACUGUAAAUCUUGAGUGCCGGAGAG
rnacentral:rRNA from 1 species